rnacentral:lncRNA from 1 species
AGGGAAACGACUUUGGACUCACGUAGGCAUAGGAGAACGAAACUUCUGUACAUUUUAAUCUGAAUAAUUCUUCAGGAUUUAAAAUUAAUUGGCUCUGGCUUGGUUGGACCGUACUCGGAUCUCGCCACCUCUGCGUUUCCCGAGUCACUGGCGAAGAGGUCCCAGUUCCUCUGGGAAUCGUCCUGUAUGCAACAUCUUCACAAGAGUGGCAGGCAGUUGAAUCUCUGGCCUUCGUGGGACCACUGGACAUCUGGCAGAGAACCAGGAAACCACGGUUCCCUUCUGUGAGUCCCUCAGCCGGAAAACUACAAGGUGUGUGACUGUAGGAUGAGGCUUUUUGAAAGAUGAAGUACGACACUUUGAGAAAGUGUUUGGAAAGAAACUGGCUGAUGUCGAAUGGAAAUCUGAACAUUCACAGAUUUCUUUUCCUAGAUAUAGAAACGCAAAAGCUUACAUGUACACAUUUAAAAAAAAUUAAAUUAUCUUUUCUUUCUUGCCUUCCUUUUUUUCCCCGCUUUUUUUGUUUUUUUUGGUCUUUUUCUUUUAUUCCUGGUUAAUAGUAAUUCCCAUUUUUAACCAAGGAGUGGUAAAACUGACACUGUCAUAUUGCUGAUAGGAUAUAUUAGCAAAAUCCUUUUGGAAAUUCAUUUGCAGUGUGCAUCAAGGGCCCAUAAAAAUGUAUGAGAACUAUGUGAUAAUAAGGAAACAGGAUAUGCACUCUUAAUGCUUAUAAAUACAUAGGCAAAAUAUACGUAGUCAUACUAAUAGGUAAUAUUUAUUGUCUACUUAAUAUAUGACAAGCACAAUGCCACAUGUUUUACAGGCAUUGUCUCAUUUAUUUUGUACACAGACUUUGUGUGGUGGAUAUUAUUAUAUCUCCAUUUUAUAGAUUAAAAAAGAGAGGCCUGGGGAGACUAAUUGGUUUAUUUGGAGUCUAGUGUGAGAUUUCAACCCAUCCUAAUUGAUUACAGAGCUUACACUAUUAAUUUAUAAUACCUUAUCAUUCCUCAUAAUAUGUGGUUAUAAGUAAAAAACAAACAUUAACAACCAAAAAAAAAAAAAAAAA